UAUGCAAACUUAAAGCACGGAUGAUGAUGUGAAAACCCCAUAGAGAAAAUGCAUUGGAUAUGGAAUUUCAUACUUGGGCAAAGGAUUGUG